ACGCCCGAUCUCGUCUGAUCUCGGGAGCUAAG
rnacentral:rRNA from 10 species